rnacentral:rRNA from 1 species
CUGGUUGAUCCUGCCAGUAGUCAUAUGCUUGUCUUAAAGAUUAAGCCAUGCAUGUGUAAGUAUAAAUAGUAUACAGUGAAACUGCGAAUGGCUCAUUAAAACAGUUAUAGUUUAUUUGAGAAUGUUUUUAUAUAUGGAUAACCGUAGUUCUAGAGCUAAUACAUGCUGUAAACCUGACUUUUGGGAAGGGUUGUAUUUAUUAGAUCCCAACCAAUACUCUUUCGGGAGGAUUGUGAUGAUUCAUAAUAACUGGUCGUAUGAAGGCUUGGCCUUGAUAGAUCAUUCAAGUUUCUGCCCUAUCAGCUUUCGAUGGUAGUGUAUUGGACUACCAUGGCAGUCACGGGUAACGGGGAAUUAGGGUUCGAUUCCGGAGAGGGAGCCUGAGAAACGGCUACCACAUCUAAGGAAGGCAGCAGGCGCGUAAAUUACCCAAUCCUGACUCAGGGAGGUAGUGACAAGAAAUAAUAACUCGUGGAACUUUUAGUUCUUUCGAGAUUAGAAUGAGAAUUUAAAAUCCUUAUCGAGGAACAAUUGGAGGGCAAGUCUGGUGCCAGCAGCCGCGGUAAUUCCAGCUCCAAUAGCGUAUAUUAAAGUUGUUGCAGUUAAAAAGCUCGUAGUUGAACUUCUGACUGUCAGAAGACCGGAUUUAUCUGGAAAUUUUCGCAGUCCUCCGUCAGAGAACUUCUGUCGUCCUUUACUGGUCGCUGGUGGUAUUUGGCAUUUUACUUUGAAAAAAUCAGAGUGUUUCAAAGCAGGCCCUAGCCUGAAUACAUUAGCAUGGAAUAAUGGAAUAGGACGCUGUCCAUUUUGAUUGGUUAUUGGAUUGGCGUAAUGAUUAAUAGGGACAGUUGGGGGCAUUUGUAUUUAAUUGUCAGAGGUGAAAUUCUUGGAUUUAUUAAAGACAAACUUAUGCGAAAGCAUUUGCCAAGGAUGUUUUCAUUAAUCAAGAACGAAAGUUAGAGGAUCAAAGACGAUCAGAUACCGUCCUAGUUUUAACUAUAAACUAUGCCGACUCGGUCUCCGUCAAGCCUCUUUAACUUGAAUGGGUGCCGUAUGAGAAAUCAAAGUCUUUGGGUUCCGGGGGGAGUAUGGUCGCAAGGUUGAAACUUAAAGGAAUAGACGGAACAUCACUACCAGGUGUGGAUCCUGCGGCUUAAUUUGACUCAACACGGGGAAACUUACCAGGUCAAGACAUAGGUGGGAUUGACAGAUUGAGAGCUCUUUCUUGAUUCUAUGGGUGGUGGUGCAUGGCCGUUCUUAGUUGGUGGAGUGAUUUGUCUGGUUAAUUCCGUUAACGAACGAGACCUUAACCUGCUAAACUAGUCGCCUUCUUACGAGAUGGUUGACUUCUUAGAGGGACUAUGUGUGCAAGCACAUGGAAGUUUGAGGCAAUAACAGGUCUGUGAUGCCCUUAGAUGUCCUGGGCCGCACGCGCGCUACACUGACACGUUCAACAAGUUCUAUCCUGGCCCGAAAGGGUUUCGGGUAAUCUUGGCAGUACGUGUCGUGCUGGGGAUCGAUCUUUGAAAUUAUAGAUCUUGAACGAGGAAUUCCUAGUAAGCGCAAGUCAUCAGCUUGCGCUGAUUACGUCCCUGCCCUUUGUACACACCGCCCGUCGCUCCUACCGAUUUCGAGUGAUCCGGUGAACCUUCUGGACCAACGUUCCCCUCGAGGGAACGAUGGGAAGUUAAGUAAACCAUAUCACUUAGAGGAAAGAGAAGUCGUAACAAGGUAUCCGUAGGUGAACCUGCAG